rnacentral:rRNA from 1 species
CCUACGGGGGGCAGCAGUGGGGAAUAUUGGGCAAUGGGCGCAAGCCUGACCCAGCAACGCCGCGUGAAGGAAGAAGGCUUUCGGGUUGUAAACUUCUUUUGUCAGGGAAAAGUAGAAGACGGUACCUGACGAAUAAGCCACGGCUAACUACGUGCCAGCAGCCGCGGUAAUACGUAGGUGGCAAGCGUUGUCCGGAUUUACUGGGUGUAAAGGGCGUGUAGCCGGAUGGUCAAGUCAGAUGUGAAAUCCUGCGGCUUAACCGCAGAACUGCAUUUGAAACUGUUGAUCUUGAGUACUGGAGAGGCAGAUGGAAUUCCUAGUGUAGCGGUGAAAUGCGUAGAUAUUAGGAGGAACACCAGUGGCGAAGGCGGUCUGCUGGACAGCAACUGACGGUGAGGCGCGAAAGCGUGGGGAGCAAACAGGAUUAGAUACCCGGGUAGUC